rnacentral:rRNA from 1 species
CGUGUAGGCGGAUUAAUAAGUCAGAAGUGAAAUCCAAUAGCUUAACUAUUGAACUGCUUUUGAAACUGUUGAUCUAGAGUGUGGGAGAGGUAGAUGGAAUUUCUGGUGUAGGGGUAAAAUCCGUAGAUAUCAGAAGGAAUACCGAUUGCGAAGGCGAUCUACUGGAACAUAACUGACGCUGAGACGCGAAGGCGUGGGGAGCAAACA